UGGGCGUAAAGGGCGCGUAGGCGGCCUGGUAAGUCAGAUGUGAAAGCCCGGGGCUCAACCCUGGAAGUGCAUUUGAUACUGCCUGGCUUGAGUAUGGGAGAGGGAAGUGGAAUUCCUGGUGUAGAGGUGAAAUUCGUAGAUAUCAGGAGGAACACCGGUGGCGAAGGCGACUUCCUGGACCAAUACUGACGCUGAGGCGCGAAAGCGUGGGGAGCAAACAGGAUUAGAUACCCUGGUAGUCCACGCCGUAAACGAUGAUCACUAGGUGUAGGGGGUAUUGACCCCUGCUGUGCCGCAGCUAAGGCAUUAAGUGACCCGCCGGGGAAGUACGGCCGCAAGGUUAAAACUCAAAGGAAUUGACGG
rnacentral:rRNA from 1 species